rnacentral:rRNA from 1 species
CCCUUAGAUGUUCUGGGCUGCACACGUGCUACACUGGCAGGUUCAGCGAGCUUCAUGCCCUGAUCUGAAAGGAAUGGGAAAUCUUUUCAAAACCUGCCGUGCUUGGGAUAGAUGUUUGCAAUUAUUCAUCUUCAACGAGGAUUGCCUUGUAAGCGCACGUCAUCAGCGUGCAUUGAAUACGACCCUGUAUUCUGUACACACCGCCCGUCGCUCCUACCGAUUGGAUGUUCCGAUGAAUACCAUAGACUGAGAGUAUGAAUGGGUUCGCCUAUUUCUGCUUCUCGGGAAGUGGAGUAAAUCUUAACAUUUAGAGGAAGGAGAAGUCGUAACA